rnacentral:rRNA from 1 species
AUUGAACGCUGGCGGCAGGCCUAACACAUGCAAGUCGAACGGUAGCACAGAGAGCUUGCUCUCGGGUGACGAGUGGCGGACGGGUGAGUAACGUCUGGGAAACUGCCCGAUGGAGGGGGAUAACUACUGGAAACGGUAGCUAAUACCGCAUAACGUCGCAAGACCAAAGUGGGGACCUUCGGGCCUCACACCAUCGGAUGUGCCCGGAUGGGAUUAGCUAGUAGGUGGGGUAAUGGCUCACCUAGGCGACGAUCCCUAGCUGGUCUGAGAGGAUGACCAGCCACACUGGAACUGAGACACGGUCCAGACUCCUACGGGAGGCAGCAGUGGGGAAUAUUGCACAAUGGGCGCAAGCCUGAUGCAGCCAUGCCGCGUGUAUGAAGAAGGCCUUCGGGUUGUAAAGUACUUUCAGCGGGGAGGAAGGCGGUGAAGUUAAUAGCUUCACCGAUUGACGUUACCCGCAGAAGAAGCACCGGCUAACUCCGUGCCAGCCGCCGCAGUAA